AUACUUACCUGGCGUAGGGAAUACCGUGAUCAUGCAGGCGGUUCCCCCAGAGCGAGGCUGCUCCAAUGCACUGCGGAGUGGUUAACUCUUGCGAUUAUUUUUAUUUCACGGACGUUAGC
rnacentral:snRNA from 9 species